AGAAUCAACGCUGGCGGCGUGCCUAACACAUGCAAGUCGCACGAGAAAGGGUAGCAAUACCUGAGUAAAGUGGCGCACGGGUGAGUAACACGUGAAUUAUCUACCUCCGAGUGGGGAAUAACUGAGAGAAAUCUUAGCUAAUACCGCAUAACACUUACGAGUCAAAGCAGCAAUGCGCUUGGAGAGGAGUUCGCGGCAGAUUAGUUAGUUGGCGGGGUAAUGGCCCACCAAGACGAUGAUCUGUAUCCGGCCUGAGAGGGCGCACGGACACACUGGAACUGAAACACGGUCCAGACUCCUACGGGAGGCAGCAGUGGGGAAUUUUGCGCAAUGGGGGAAACCCUGACGCAGCAACGCCGCGUGGAGGAUGAAAUAUCUUGGUAUGUAAACUCCUUUCGAUGGGGAAGAUUAUGACGGUACCCAUAGAGAAGCCCGGCUAACUUCGCGCCAGCAGCCGC
rnacentral:rRNA from 1 species